AGUGAACGCUGGCGGUAGGCCUAACACAUGCAAGUCGAACGGCAGCACAGUAAGAGCUUGCUCUUACGGGUGGCGAGUGGCGGACGGGUGAGGAAUACAUUGGAAUCUACUUUUUCGUGGGGGAUAACGUAGGGAAACUUACGCUAAUACCGCAUACGACCUACGGGUGAAAGCAGGGGAUCUUCGGACCUUGCGCGAUUGAAUGAGCCGAUGUCGGAUUAGCUAGUUGGCGGGGUAAAGGCCCACCAAGGCAACGAUCCGUAGCUGGUCUGAGAGGAUGAUCAGCCACACUGGAACUGAGACACGGUCCAGACUCCUACGGGAGGCAGCAGUGGGGAAUAUUGGACAAUGGGCGCAAGCCUGAUCCAGCCAUACCGCGUGGGUGAAGAAGGCCUUCGGGUUGUAAAGCCCUUUUGUUGGGAAAGAAAAGCAGCAGGUUAAUACCCCGCUGUUCUGACGGUACCCAAAGAAUAAGCACCGGCUAACUUCGUG
rnacentral:rRNA from 1 species